CUGUAAGCAGAAAAGAAUUAAAAAAAUACUUAUAAAAAUAUCUAUAUGAAAUUAAUGAUAUAUAUAUGGGAAUAUUAAGAACAGAAUAUUGUGGCAUGGCACAGAUACAUUUUAAAGCACAUUUGUCAUUCAUCUUUGGUAUAAAAAAAUGUGUACAAAUUUAUUACGUAAAUUAAAGGACAGAGUAAGGCACACAUACACACUCAACAAUGUUUAAGGCCCGAUUUUACUGUCCUCUAAAAGAACAUUAUACAUUGUGUGCUAUGUAUCUGUGUACCAUGGUGAAUUUCAUGAAUGAAACUAACCUUAUAGAAAUUUGCACUACUAAUUAAUAAUAUUUUUUUUCCUCUCAAUUUUCGCUCUAUUUUCAUGUCAAACGUCUGUUGAUUUGUGCAGUACAUUUAAACGCAUCUGUGCCAGCAUAUAAUGAGGUUGUGAAGGAACUGAACUUUGGGCUACAUUUCCUCCUGAUUGUUGACUUACAUCUUGUAUCGAACCAUCACUUUGUGCUGGUGUUGCUGUUGAACUAUUCUCCAUAUUACUCAUCUAAAAUUAAUUAAAUUAUGAUUUUAUAUCUUAAUAUUAUAUAUAAACAAUAUAAUAACAUUAUAU